rfam:Vitis vinifera, whole genome shotgun sequence of line PN40024, unoriented chromosome 12, chr12
GGGCUUAUGAUGAUAAUUUCAAUUAUCUUAGCGGAUUUCAGUGAGAUUUAUUCAAUGAUCUGAUUGUUACACACACUGAAGCCU